AACGAACGCUGGCGGCAGGCUUAACACAUGCAAGUCGAACGGAUCCUUCGGGAUUAGUGGCGCACGGGUGAGUAACGCGUGGGAAUGUACCCCUUGGUAAGGAAUAAUAUCUGGAAACGGAUACUAAUACCUUAUAAUGACUUUGGUCCAAAGAUUUAUCGCCAAGGGAUCAGCCCGCGUCUGAUUAGGUAGUUGGUGAGGUAACGGCUCACCAAGCCGACGAUCAGUAGCUGGUCUGAGAGGAUGAUCAGCCACACUGGGACUGAGACACGGCCCAGACUCCUACGGGAGGCAGCAGUGAGGAAUAUUGGAAAAUGGGGGAAACCCUGAUCCAGCCAUGCCGCGUGAGUGAAGAAGGCCUUAGGGUUGUAAAGCUCUUUCAAUGGUGAAGAUAAUGACGGUAGCCAUAGAGGAAGCCCCGGCUAAAUUCGUGCCAGCAGCCGCGGUAA
rnacentral:rRNA from 1 species